rnacentral:rRNA from 1 species
CAGCCUACGGGGCGCAGCAGUGAGGAAUAUUGGUCAAUGGGAGAGAUCCUGAACCAGCCAAGCCGCGUGAGGGAAGACGGCCCUAUGGGUUGUAAACCUCUUUUGUCGGAGAACAAAACCCGGGACGUGUCCCGGACUGCGUGUAUCCGAAGAAAAAGCAUCGGCUAACUCCGCGCCAGCAGCCGCGGUAAUACGUAGGGGGCAAGCGUUAUCCGGAUUUACUGGGUGUAAAGGGAGCGUAGACGGCAGGGCAAGUCUGGAGUGAAAGCCCGGGGCCCGACCCCGGGACUGCUUUGGAAACUGCC